GACGAACGCUGGCGGCGUGCUUAACACAUACAAGUCGAACGGAAAGGCCCUGCUUUUGUGGGGUGCUCGAGUGGCGAACGGGUGAGUAACACGUGAGUAACCUGCCCUUGACUUUGGGAUAACUUCAGGAAACUGGGGCUAAUGCCGGAUAGGAGCUCCUGCUGCAUGGUGGGGGUUGGAAAGUUUCGGCGGUUGGGGAUGGACUCGCGGCUUAUCAGCUUGUUGGUGGGGUAGUGGCUUACCAAGGCUUUGACGGGUAGCCGGCCUGAGAGGGUGACCGGCCACAUUGGGACUGAGAUACGGCCCAGACUCCUACGGGAGGCAGCAGUGGGGAAUAUUGCACAAUGGGCGGAAGCCUGAUGCAGCAACGCCGCGUGCGGGAUGACGGCCUUCGGGUUGUAAACCGCUUUCGCCUGUGACGAAGCGUGAGUGACGGUAAUGGGUAAAGAAGCACCGGCUAACUACGUG
rnacentral:rRNA from 1 species